UCGCCUGUUUAUCAAAAACAUGUCCUAUAGAAUUCAAUUUUAGGUCUGGCCUGCCCAUUGAAUUUAAUUUAAAAGGCCGCAGUAUUUUAACUGUGCAAAGGUAGCAUAAUCAUUAGUCUUUUAAUUGAAGGCUGGAAUGAAAGGUUGGACGAGGCAUUAACUGUUUCAAGUAAGUUUUAUUAGAAUUUUAUUUUUUAGUUAAAAAGCUAAAAUUUGGUUUAAAGACGAGAAGACCCUAUAGAGCUUUAUAAUUAUUUUAUUCAUAAUUAUUAAGAUUUUUUUAUUUGUGAUUAAUUAAAUUAUUUUAUUGGGGUGAUAUCAAGAUUUAUAUAACUCUUGAAUAAUUUUUACAUUGAUUUAUGUUUAAUUUUGAUCCUUUUUUAAAGAUUAAUAAAUUAAGUUACCUUAGGGAUAACAGCGUAAUUUUCUUGGAGAGUUCAUAUCGAUAAGAAAGAUUGCGACCUCGAUGUUGGAUUAAGAUAAAUAGUUAGGCGCAGCCGCUUAUCUAUAGAGUCUGUUCGACUUUUAAAUUCUUACAUGAUCUGAGUUCAAAACCGGAGA
rnacentral:rRNA from 1 species